GACGAACGCUGGCGGCGUGCUUAACACAUGCAAGUCGAACGGAAAGGCCCUGCUUUUGUGGGGUGCUCGAGUGGCGAACGGGUGAGUAACACGUGAGUAACCUGCCCUUGACUUUGGGAUAACUACAGGAAACUGGGGCUAAUACCGGAUAGGAGCUCCUGCUGCAUGGUGGGGGUUGGAAAGUUUCGGCGGUUGGGGAUGGACUGGCGGCUUAUCAGCUUGUUGGUGGGGUAGUGGCUUACCAAGGCUUUGACGGGUAGCCGGCCUGAGAGGGUGACCGGCCACAUUGGGACUGAGAUACGGCCCAGACUCCUACGGGAGGCAGCAGUGGGGAAUAUUGCACAAUGGGCGGAAGCCUGAUGCAGCAACGCCGCGUGCGGGAUGACGGCCUUCGGGUUGUAAACCGCUUUCGCCUGUGACGAAGCGUGAGUGACGGUAAUGGGUAAAGAAGCACCGGCUAACUACGUG
rnacentral:rRNA from 1 species